UACGUAGGGUGCAAGCGUUGUCCGGAAUUAUUGGGCGUAAAGCGCUCGUAGGCGGUCUGUUGCGUCUGCUGUGAAAACCCGGGGCUCAACCCCGGGCCUGCAGCCGAUACGGGCAGACUAGAGUUCGGCAGGGGAGACUGGAAUUCCUGGUGUAGCGGUGAAAUGCGCAGAUAUCAGGAGGAACACCGGUGGCGAAGGCGGGUCUCUGGGCCGAUACUGACGCUGAGGAGCGAAAGCGUGGGGAGCGAACAGG
rnacentral:rRNA from 1 species